UACGGAGGGUGCAAGCGUUAAUCGGAAUUACUGGGCGUAAAGCGCACGCAGGUGGCUGAGAAAGUCGAUUGUGAAAGCCCUGGGCUUAACCUGGGAAUUGCAGUCGAAACUACUCGGCUAGAGUAUGGGAGAGGGUAGUGGGAAUUCCCGGUGUAGCGGUGAAAUGCGUAGAUAUCGGGAGGAACAUCAGUGGCCGAAGGCGGCGAUCUGGGGUAGAUACUGACGCUGAGGUGCGAAAGCGUGGGGAGCAAACAGGG
rnacentral:rRNA from 1 species